GGAGGGGCUGCUGGAGGGGAACAGCAGCAAUGCCUCCCUCAGGGUCACAUCCAGCUCCACGGGGCACUGGGCCAACAGCUCCCUGAGCCUGCACGGGGCACUCAGCUCCGACCUCAGGCUGAGCUGUGAGGCCCAGAACGCCCAUGGCACCCAGAGCGCCAGCGUCCUGCUGCUGCCAGGGAAGCCAGAGCUCAGGGAAGCCCUGCUGGGGACGCUGGGGGCUGCUGGUGGGGCCGCUCUGCUCUCCCUCUGUGCCUGCCUCGUCUUCUCCUGGUUAAAGACCCGCAGGAAGAAAGCUGGUAGCCAGACAGGAACUGCCCAUCAGGACGCCCCCGUUGACCUGGGCCCUGUCUGUGGGG